rnacentral:rRNA from 1 species
UACAGAGGUCCCAAGCGUUGUUCGGAAUUACUGGGCGUAAAGCGCACGCAGGUGGCUGAGUCAGUCGAUUGUGAAAGCCCUGGGCUUAACCUGGGAAUUGCAGUCGAUACUACUCGGCUAGAGUAUGGGAGAGGGCAGUGGAAUUCCCGGUGUAGCGGUGAAAUGCGUAGAUAUCGGGAGGAACAUCAGUGGCGAAGGCGGCUGCCUGGCCCAAUACUGACACUCAGGUGCGACAGCGUGGGGAGCAAACAGG